rnacentral:rRNA from 1 species
AACGCUGGCGGCGUGCUUAACACAUGCAAGUAGAACGGAAAGGCCCUGCUUUUGUGGGGUGCUCGAGUGGCGAACGGGUGAGUAACUCGCGCGUAACCUGCCCUUGCCUUUGGGAUAACUUCAUUCAAGUGGGGCUAAUAACGGCUAGGAGCUCCUGCUGCCUGGUGGGGGUUGGAAAGUUUCGGCGGUUGGGGAUGGACUCGCGGCUUAUCAGCUUGUUGGUGGGGUAGUGGCUUACCAAGGCUUUGACGGGUAGCCGGCCUGAGAGGGUGACCGGCCACAUUGGGACUGAGAUACGGCCCAGACUCCUACGGGAGGCAGCAGUGGGGAAUAUUGCACAAUGGGCGGAAGCCUGAUGCAGCAACGCCGCGUGCGGGAUGACGGCCUUCGGGUUGUAAACCGCUUUCGCCUGUGACGAAGCGUGAGUGACGGUAAUGGGUAAAGAAGCAACGGCUAACUACGUG